rnacentral:lncRNA from 1 species
AUGCAUUCACUAAAACUGUCCCUAAAGUAUUAUUUCUGUCUUCUCCCCAGCAAGAAAGGGAUGAGCAGUCUGCCCCCUCUGUACUUUGGCAGUGGGGUCCCCAGGACAGUUUCUCAGCAGAGAAGGACCCCAGGCUGCGCAGGAGCAGCGCCUACAUCCAAGUCGGAACCUGGUGUCUGGAGCCGUUUCUCAACUAGAAAGGUUUUUAAACAGCGGUUUUUCACUACACCUGACAAAGAAACAGAAUUUCUCCGUAGUCUGCUUCUCUUCCCGAACGUGAAUGACCAGCUGGCAAUUCUCAGCAGCUUGUGCCAUCCUCAGUGCUUCGACACUCUACCUGCAGUGCUGACUGUUGCCUCUCACCCUGGUGUCCUGGCUGGAGGCUGAGAGAUGGUGGAGUGAAUCCAGCAAAUUGACCAGCAAUCCUGGUGAUCUCUUGUCCUCCACCACGGUCAGCACGCUCCUGUGGGGCUCUGUUUCUCUAACUCUCAUCUGCUUUGCCAUCUUCAUUCUCUCUCUCUCUCUUCCCCCCUCCAUGUUGCUUCCACCAUGAUGAAAUAGCUUCCUUUAGCAUUUAAAAGAAAAAAAGAGGUCAAAAGCCCUGUGCCAUGGUCUACCUCCCUUCUGGCCUUUUCCCCAGUAAACAGUCCCGGCUUUUGGAGUAAGAAGUCAUUUGUGCUCAGCUCACCUCCAUCAAAAAAAAAUCCUGCUGAGAUAUACUACUGCUG